rnacentral:rRNA from 1 species
CAGCAGCCGCGGUAAUACCGGCGGCCCGAGUGGCGGCCACUAUUAUUGGGCCUAAAGCGUCCGUAGCCGGGCUGGUAAGUCCUCCGGGAAAUCUGGUCGCUUAACGAUCAGACUUCCGGAGGAUACUGCUGGCCUAGGGACCGGGAGAGGCCGAGGGUAUUCCCGGGGUAGGGGUGAAAUCCUGUAAUCCCGGGAGGACCACCUGUGGGGAAGGCGCUCGGCUGGAACGGGUCCGACGGGGAGGGACGAAGGCCAGGGGAGCGAACCGGAUUAGAUACCCGGGUAGUCCUGGCUGUAAACGAUGCGGACUAGGUGUCGGGCAAGCUAAGGGCUUGUCCGGUGCCGCAGGGAAGCCGUUAAGUCCGCCGCCUGGGGAGUACGGCCGCAAGGCUGAAACUUAAAGGAAUUGGCGGG